rnacentral:rRNA from 1 species
GACGAACGCUGGCGGCGUGCUUAACACAUGCAAGUCGAACGGAAAGGCCCUGCUUUUGUGGGGUGCUCGAGUGGCGAACGGGUGAGUAACACGUGAGUAACCUGCCCUUGACUUUGGGAUAACUUCAGGAAACUGGGGCUAAUACCGGAUAGGAGCUCCUGCUGCAUGGUGGGGGUUGGAAAGUUUCGGCGGUUGGGGAUGGACUCGCGGCUCAUCAGCUUGUUGGUGGGGUAGUGGCUUACCAAGGCUUUGACGGGUAGCCGGCCUGAGAGGGUGACCGGCAACAUUGGGACUGAGAUACGGCCCAGACUCCUACGGGAGGCAGCAGUGGGGAAUAUUGCACAAUGGGCGGAAGCCUGAUGCAGCAACGCCGCGUGCGGGAUGACGGCCUUCGGGUUGUAAACCGCUUUCGCCUGUGACGAAGCGUGAGUGACGGUAAUGGGUAAAGAAGCACCGGCUAACUACGUG